AGAGUUUGAUCAUGGCUCAGGAUUAGCGUUGGUAGUAUGCCUAACACAUGCAAGUCGAACGGGGUUAUAGCAAUAUAAUUCAGUGGCGAACGGGUGAGUAAUGCUUAUCUUACUUGCCAAUUAGUGGGGGAUAACCAUGGGAAACCAUGGCUAAUACCGCAUUUGUUAUUUCGGUAAUGAAAGGGAAUCGCAAGAUUCUCGCUAAUUGAGAGGGAUAAGUCGUAUUAGUUAGUUGGUGGGGUAAUGGCCUACCAAGACAAGGAUGCGUAGCCAGGCUGAGAGGCUGAUUGGCCACAAGGGAACUGAGACACGGUCCCUACUCCUACGGGAGGCAGCAGUGAGGAAUUGUCGGCAAUGGGGGAAACCCUGACCGCGCAAUACUACGUGAAGGAGGAAGGUCUACGGAUUGUAAACUUCUGUUAGUGCGGAAGAAGGGCUGAACGCAAGUUUAGUUUUGACGGUACGCACAGAGAAAGCCACGACUAACUACGUGCCAGCAGUCGCGGUAAGACGUAGGUGGCGAACGUUAUCCGGAAUUAUUGGGCGUAAAGGGUGCGUAGAUGGCUUGAUAAGUUAGCAGUGGGAAAUCGAGGCUCAACCACGUGGAAGCUGGUAAUACUGUCAGGCUCGAGUGCAGGAGAGGUUAACGGAACUCCAUGUGGAGCGGUAAAAUGUGUAGAUAUAUGGAAGAACACCAAUAACGGCGAAGGCAGUUAACUAUUCUGUUACUGACAUUGAGGCACGAAAGCGUGGGGACAAAGCGGAUUAGAUACCCUAGUAGUCC
rnacentral:rRNA from 1 species